rnacentral:pre_miRNA from 7 species
CCAAGGGGUCUUCGGGGCUCCUGUCACGCAAAUCUUGGUGGGACCUCCAAAUGAAAGACCCUAGUGGGGAGACCUCCACUGAAGUCCGGAGACAGCGUGCACCCAAGGAAUCACAAGAGACC